CAGUAGCCGCGGGAAUACGAAGGGGGCUAGCGUUGCUCGGAAUUACUGGGCGUAAAGGGCGCGUAGGCGGACAGUUCAGUCGGGGGUGAAAGCCCGGGGCUCAACCUCGGAAUUGCCUUCGAUACUGGCUGUCUUGAGUAUGAGAGAGGUGCGUGGAACUCCGAGUGUAGAGGUGAAAUUCGUAGAUAUUCGGAAGAACACCAGUGGCGAAGGCGACACACUGGCUCAUUACUGACGCUGAGGCGCGAAAGCGUGGGGAGCAAACAGGAUUAGAUACCCGAGUAGUCCCUGUCUCUUAUAC
rnacentral:rRNA from 1 species